GACGAACGCUGGCGGCGUGCUUAACACAUGCAAGUCGAACGGAAAGGCCCUGCUUUUGUGGGGUGCUCGAGUGGCGAACGGGUGAGUAACACGUGAGUAACCUGCCCUUGACUUUGGGAUAACUUCAGGAAACUGGGGCUAAUACCGGAUAGGAGCUCCUGCUGCAUGGUGGGGGUUGGAAAGUUUCGGCGGUUGGGGAUGGACUCGCGGCUUAUCAGCUUGUUGGUGGGGUAGUGGCUUACCAAGGCUUUGACGGGUAGCCGGCCUGAGAGGGUGACCGGCCACAUUGGGACUGAGAUACGACCCAGACUCCUAGUGGAGGCAGCAGUGCAGAAUAUUACACAAUGGGCGGAAGCCUGAUGCAGCAACGCCGCGUGCGGGAUGACGGCCUUCGGGUUGUAAACCGCUUUCGCCUGUGACGAAGCGUGAGUGACGGUAAUGGGUAAAGAAGCACCGGCUAACUACGUG
rnacentral:rRNA from 1 species